rnacentral:tRNA from 1 species
GCGCCGGUAGCUUAGUGGUAAAGCAAGGGACUUUUAAUCCCGAGAGCGAAGGUUCGAGUCCUUCUCGGCGUA